UGCAGUCGUUCUUAGAAGUGGCAAACACACUUGUUGACGAGAAAAUUGACUCAACAUGGAAAGUUUUAGUCAAUCAGACAGGAACUGGUGCCGAUUCAAUUGUUUACUUCGUGGAUAGGUUUGUGUUCAACAUGGUGAAACAAUCGAAAGGAACAUUUCACAAUCAUACCUUCACUAAAUCGAACUUGUUUGUAGCAAUAUCAAAAACAUCUGACUGUUCAAAUGUAAAUUUCCCAAGAGACACAUUUAUCGAAUACAGAAAGGACAACGGGAACGAUUCAUGGGCUAUAGAUCGUUCAGGCAAUAUACGUGUCCCAUGCAUUGAAGAUCAGGUCUACAGCGGAGUUGUUUAUCGCAAUAUUUCAAGUAUCGUUUCUUUGAACUCCGCCAGUGAUAGG